GCUUGGGUGGCUCAGUUGGUUGAGCAUCUGACUUUGGCUCAGGUCAUGAUUCCAGGUUCCUGGGAUCAGUUCCCAGGUUAAGCU
rfam:Canis lupus familiaris chromosome 2, whole genome shotgun sequence.